AUUGAACGCUGGCGGCAUGCCUUACACAUGCGAGUCGAACGGCAGCACGGGUGCUUGCACCUGGUGGCGAGUGGCGAACGGGUGAGUAAUACAUCGGAACAUGUCCUGUAGUGGGGGAUAGCCCGGCGAAAGCCGGAUUAAUACCGCAUGCGAUCUACGGAUGAAAGCGGGGGACCUUCGGGCCUCGCGCUAUAGGGUUGGCCGAUGGCUGAUUAGCUAGUUGGUGGGGUAAAGGCCUACCAAGGCGACGAUCAGUAGCUGGUCUGAGAGGACGACCAGCCACACUGGGACUGAGACACGGCCCAGACUCCUACGGGAGGCAGCAGUGGGGAAUUUUGGACAAUGGGCGAAAGCCUGAUCCAGCAAUGCCGCGUGUGUGAAGAAGGCCUUCGGGUUGUAAAGCACUUUUGUCCGGAAAGAAAUCCUUGGCCCUAAUACGGUCGGGGGAUGACGGUACCGGAAGAAUAAGCACCGGCUAACUACGUG
rnacentral:rRNA from 1 species